rnacentral:lncRNA from 1 species
UUUGUUUUAUUAGGAUUAUAUUAAUCAGGAUUAUAAUACUUUUGGGCAGAAGACCAACUAAACCAACUAUUUAUGGGAUGCUUGCAAACAUUAUCAGUUUAUUCUUCAUAUUUCGAUAAGUAACAAACAACAUGAAGUGCUGUUGCUAAAUGUACAUUUACCGUUGGAAUUCGGAGCAACUAAUAAGUUCAUUAUCAAUUACCUUGAAACAGAACAUAAACUGUCUUGCUUUCUUGCUUACU